GUGGGGAAUAUUGCACAAUGGGCGAAAGCCUGAUGCAUCGACGCCGCGUGAGGGAUGACGGCCUUCGGGUUGUAAACCUCUUUCAGCAGGGACGAAGCGCAAGUGACGGUACCUGCAGAAGAAGCACCGGCUAACUACGUGCCAGCAGCCGCGGUAAUACGUAGGGUGCAAGCGUUGUCCGGAAUUACUGGGCGUAAAGAGUUCGUAGGCGGUUUGUCGCGUCGUUUGUGAAAACCAGCAGCUCAACUGCUGGCUUGCAGGCGAUACGGGCAGACUUGAGUACUGCAGGGGAGACUGGAAUUCCUGGUGUAGCGGUGAAAUGCGCAGAUAUCAGGAGGAACACCGGUGGCGAAGGCGGGUCUCUGGGCAGUAACUGACGCUGAGGAACGAAAGCGUGGGUAGCGAACAGGAUUAGAUACCCCGGUAGUCC
rnacentral:rRNA from 1 species